rnacentral:rRNA from 1 species
AUUGAACGCUGGCGGCAGGCCUAACACAUGCAAGUCGAGCGGAUGAAGGGAGCUUGCUCCUGGAUUCAGCGGCGGACGGGUGAGUAAUGCCUAGGAAUCUGCCUGGUAGUGGGGGAUAACGUCCGGAAACGGGCGCUAAUACCGCAUACGUCCUGAGGGAGAAAGUGGGGGAUCUUCGGACCUCACGCUAUCAGAUGAGCCUAGGUCGGAUUAGCUAGUUGGUGGGGUAAAGGCCUACCAAGGCGACGAUCCGUAACUGGUCUGAGAGGAUGAUCAGUCACACUGGAACUGAGACACGGUCCAGACUCCUACGGGAGGCAGCAGUGGGGAAUAUGGGACAAUGGGCGAAAGCCUGAUCCAGCCAUGCCGCGUGUGUGAAGAAGGUCUUCGGAUUGUAAAGCACUUUAAGUUGGGAUGAAGGGCAGUAAGUUAAUACCUUGCUGUUUUGACGUUACCAACAGAAUAAGCACCGGCUAACUUCGUG